UACGUAGGGUCCGAGCGUUGUCCGGAAUUAUUGGGCGUAAAGGGUCCGUAGGCGGUCGGUUAAGUCGGAUGUGAAAUCUCACAGCCUAACUGUGAACGGUCAUUCGAAACUAAUCGGCUAGAGGGCUGGAGAGGAGACUGGAAUUUACGGUGUAGCGGUGAAAUGCGUAGAUAUCGUAAGGAAGACCAGUGGCGAAGGCGGGUCUCUGGACAGUUCCUGACGCUGAGGCACGAAGGUCAGGGGAGCAAACGGG
rnacentral:rRNA from 1 species